rnacentral:lncRNA from 1 species
AAAUUUUGUCAGAGCCAAGGUUUUUAAAAUUAGUAGUCUAUGGAAUACAUGAUAUAAACUAUUUGAGUAGAGCAGUUGUAAUUACUCAGAAAACAACUUUUAUCGUCUAGCUUUAUUUGAACUUUGGAAAAAGUUGAGAGAUUGGAAUUAGGGUUAAUCACCUAAAAUUAUUUGAGUUUAAAAACAAUGAGAAAUACUAACAUGUCGGAGUUAUCUGCUUCAAAAAAAUGAUGCAAACCUGACAGCCAUUUUGGUGGCUUAAGUGUAGAUGAAUGAGAGGCCAUCCCAACACUAUCAUAAGAUUACUAUAUCCAGGUUUAAAACUUGGUUAAUUAUCUCAUUGUGUGUAUGGAAGAAAUAUAGGCAAUGUUCUCAUCUAUAUCCAAGAAAUUCUGAAAAGUCAGGCCUUCAGGUACUUGUGGGACCCUGUAACAAAGUUCUUGUAGCAAGGCUUCAUCAGUAUUAUCAUCACUAUUUGAGAUUUCUUUUGUAAUCAUAUCACCUUUAAUGAACCCUGCAUGAUGGAGUUAGGAAUUGUUGCUUGAGAAACAUCAUUCCAUGCACAAAUUGAUAAAUGCAUCAUGCUGAGUAAAUCAAUUGGUAGUUUUUUACCAUGUUCAAAGUUAAGAA